rnacentral:rRNA from 1 species
ACGAUGAGUUUGAUCGUGGCUCAGGACGAACGCUGGCGGCGUGCCUAAUACAUGCAAGUCGAGCGGAUCGAUGGGAGCUUGCUCCCUGAGAUCAGCGGCGGACGGGUGAGUAACACGUGGGUAACCUGCCUGUAAGACUGGGAUAACUCCGGGAAACCGGGGCUAAUACCGGAUAACAUUUUCCUCCGCAUGGAGGAAGAUUGAAAGGUGGCUUCGGCUAUCACUUACAGAUGGACCCGCGGCGCAUUAGCUAGUUGGUGAGGUAACGGCUCACCAAGGCGACGAUGCGUAGCCGACCUGAGAGGGUGAUCGGCCACACUGGGACUGAGACACGGCCCAGACUCCUACGGGAGGCAGCAGUAGGGAAUCUUCCGCAAUGGACGAAAGUCUGACGGAGCAACGCCGCGUGAGUGAAGAAGGUUUUCGGAUCGUAAAACUCUGUUGUUAGGGAAGAACAAGUAUCGUUCGAAUAGGGCGGU